AUCUGAAAUCAGGUAGGGCUACCCGCUGAACUUAAGCAUAUCAAUAAGCGGAGGAAAAGAAACUAACAAGGAUUCCCCUAGUAACGGCGAGUGAAGCGGGAAGAGCUCAAAUUUAAAAUCUAGUUUGCUUGCAAACUCGAGUUGUAGUCUGAAGAAACGUUUUCCAUGAAAGCUGAGGCACAAGUCCUUUGGAACAGGGCAUCAUAGAGGGUGAGAAUCCCGUCCAUGGUCUCAAGUCUUUCAUUUUGUGAUACGUUUUCUAAGAGUCAGGUUGUUUGGGAAUGCAGCCUAAAAUGGGUGGUAAAUUUCAUCUAAAGCUAAAUAUUGGCGAGAGACCGAUAGCGAACAAGUACCGUGAGGGAAAGAUGAAAAGAACUUUGAAAAGAGAGUUAAAAAGUACGUGAAAUUGUUGAAAGGGAACCGUUUGAAGCCAGUCUUGUUUUUUUGUGAUCAGUCUCAGCUUUGGCUGGGAUGCACUCUCAAUUUUACAGGUCAACGUCAGUUUGAGAAGUGGGAAAAAAGUUUGAGGAAUGUGGCCUUCGGGUGUUAUAGCCUCUUACUAAAUACCAUUUCCUGGACUGAGGCUCGCAGCAAAAAUCUUGGCAGACUUGCUUCUGAGGUGAACCAUUAUUAAGACAGCUUGCUGACUUAGUUUUGUCUANCU
rnacentral:rRNA from 1 species